CCAGCUUCUGGUGGCCCCAGGCCAUCCCUGGCUUGCAGAUACGUGGCUCCCAUCUCUGCCUCGGUCUUCACAUGGGGCCUCCCGUCUAUGUCUCUCUGUGUGUCCCGUCCUCUUUUUACAGGGACACCAGUCAUUGGAUAAGGGCUAAUGAUCCUAAUCCAGUGUGAGCUCAUCUUAAUUAAUUACAUCUGCAAAUGCCCCAUCUCCAGGUUGCAGAGUCAAACCCAUCCUGGUAUCAACCUGCUUUUAGUACUUCCAGAUUCGUAAGUCAAGAAAUCCUCCUUCCUGCUUGUACCAGUUGGCAGUGGGUUUUCUGGCAUUUGUACCUGGUAUGUGUAGC
rnacentral:lncRNA from 10 species